ACGGAGGAUGCAAGCGUUAUCCGGAUUUAUUGGGUUUAAAGGGUGCGCAGGUUGUUUUAUAAGUCAGUGGUGAAAGUCUGCCGCUUAACGAUAGGAUUGCCAUUGAUACUGUAGGACUUGAGUAUGGAUGAGGUAGGCGGAAGGUGUAGUGUGGCGGUGAAAUGCAGAGAGAUUUCACAGGUCGCGGUUUGUGGAGGCAUGUUAAUAAUCCAGGUCUGACGCUUAGGCAUGAAAGCGUGGGGAUCAAAGAU
rnacentral:rRNA from 1 species